rnacentral:rRNA from 1 species
AUUGAACGCUGGCGGCAUGCCUUACACAUGCAAGUCGAACGGCAGCACGGGAGCAAUCCUGGUGGCGAGUGGCGAACGGGUGAGUAAUGUAUCGGAACGUGCCCAGUCGUGGGGGAUAACGUAGCGAAAGCUACGCUAAUACCGCAUACGAUCUAUGGAUGAAAGCGGGGGAUCGCAAGACCUCGCGCGAUUGGAGCGGCCGAAAUCAGAUUAGGUAGUUGGUGGGGUAAAGGCCCACCAAGCCUGCGAUCUGUAGCUGGUCUGAGAGGACGACCAGCCACACUGGAACUGAGACACGGUCCAGACUCCUACGGGAGGCAGCAGUGGGGAAUUUUGGACAAUGGGCGCAAGCCUGAUCCAGCAAUGCCGCGUGCAGGAUGAAGGCCUUCGGGUUGUAAACUGCUUUUGUACGGAACGAAACGGCUUUUUCUAAUACAGAGAGCUAAUGACGGUACCGUAAGAAUAAGCACCGGCUAACUACGUGCCAGCAGCCGCCGCAGUAA